UCCUUCCCUUUUGUGCCCUAUUUCUUCCCCAAGAACAAAAUCCCCAAUUUCUAGGGUUUUCAGCCUCCCUUUCCUCUCCGAAUUUUGCCCCUCUUGCGAGUCCCGCCACUGCCGCCGCCUCGCACAGCUGCUCCGUGCCUCAAGAAGAGCUUGCACUCGCAUUUGGUGAAUUGUUGAGGAAAAUCUGGUCUUUUGGUCGAACUCGAAUUGCACCUCGUGUAUUUAAGGGGAAAGUUGCUCCCCAGUUUAGUGGUUAUAAUCAUCAUGAUUCGCAGGUUAGUUUCAAUCUGCAGUUGCAGUUGUGUUAAGAUAUAUGGCACCUGCAGUUUUGUAUUACUUUACCUUGUGAGUUUAUGUUUUGAUAUUAUCAUUCAUUUAAAUAUAAGAAGAAAUAUAGAUACUAUCUAUUCUUGUGUUAGUUUUUCAGGAACAUGAAUUUCAUCAAUCAAUUAUCUGAUACUAGAAUUUGAUAUUGAGGUAAGAGCAGUCCCUUAGAGUAUGUGAUGACAUUAUUAAUAUUAUUUUAUGCGUGACAAACUAUGGUUAUUCUUACUAUGGUCCCAUUUUCUGUGAUGUCCAGUUUUAUCAAUACUUUUUGGCGUGGAAUUGUAACUGUCUGGAUAUAAUUAACUUCCAUUCUUUGUUGACAUCAAUCUAGAAGAUGAUAUGGAAUUGUAAUCUCUAAACUUGUAUGGAAUAUAAUCAUGGUAUAAAAAAUUACGUGAAAAUGUACUGUUCUUAAGACAUUUGAUACAUGAGAAAUUGCCCAAGUGUAGAAAGAUAUUUAUACUGGGAACAUGGUUAAAUUCUUUUAAAUUUUAAAAAAUUCUUCUAACUGGCAUUAAAACUUGAAAGGGUGUUUCACUUAUUUAUACUUGACAUUUCAUUCAAUCCAUAGCUAUACUACAAAUCAUCUUAGCUUACUUCAAUUAAAACUGCACCAGAAUUGAAUGCUACAAAUAUUCUGAAUUUGCACAGACAGUAAAGUGCAUCUUCCAAUGCGAAAAAAAGGCAAUACUCCAGCACUACUGCUAAAACCAUCAUCUGCAAAGACUUGAAUAUACAACUGCAUAUAUUAGAACUCCUCUAUUCUUCUAAAGCCUAGAAUAAUAAAACAAGGAUCUCAUAUUUUACCAAGCAAAAACCUACUUAAGAAAUAUUUGUCCUAGAAUAUUUGAGGUUGCUGGGAGUUUCCGAUUGACUUAAGAAAUAUCAUGCUUGUCCUAUUGUUGGUUUUGAGUUAUUAUGUUCUUUCUUACAUAUGGAAGAUCAAGUCAUUUAUCAUAUCAGAUGACAUCUAAUAAAGGUAUACAUAAUUGAAAUCAGUGAGUUGAUUAGUCAUCUAUUUUUGAUAAUCUUAGUAAUUAUAUGAUGCUACCAACAUUGGACAGGCAAAGCUACAGAGGUUAUGGGAACGAGUGGUGCUAGAAAAUCGUGAGUCUUACAGUUCCAUCUCAUAUUCCUCUUCCUCUUGUCAUUACUUAAGUUCAUCUUAAUCAAUUAUGUAAAUUUUUGGUGCAGAACUAUUGGGAAAGAUUUUUGUCCAGUUGGGAAACAAUAUCAGGUCUGUUUAUUAAUUUGGUUUGACAUUUCAUACUAUUUUUCAGGAAUUACAUUCGUCAUCUUUACUUCUGGGGAAUUCUUGAGCAGGAUUCUUGGACAUUUGCAGGCUCUGCUAGCUACUGUUGAAUUUUAUUCUUCCUUAUAUAUAUUCAUCCUAUGAGGAGUUCGAAUCAUGGUAAGCAACUUCUAUUUGACUAAUAGAUAUUGAUUAAUAUAAUACUUGAAUAUAUAUCUUUUAUGUGAAGUGUUUUAACUAUUUUUGCAGUUGACCCCAUAUUUGAUUGGUUAGAAUUGCAGCUUGUAGUCUAUCUUAUUUGUUAUGUCGGAUCUCAUGUUCGACUUCUUGGGUAGGUGCAGUAACGAAGCCCUCAAGGAAGAGAUGGAAGAGAAAAGAAGGGCUCAGGUGCACUUUAAGUUAUGUAAUGUGCUACCUCAGACGAUUGCCUAUUUGGUGCCUAUUUUUUUAGUUUGUCACUUUAAUAAUUCUGAAGGUAGCGGCCAUUCUUCAUUUUUCACUCUUUCUAAUCUCUAUUGCAGAUUACUUUCAUGAGGAAGAAGAAUUUCAGGAAAGAGCAACUAGUUCUUGAGGAUUUGGCGCUAGAACCCAUAGUAUGAUAGAUUUUCGUUUUAGCUAUAAUUAAGAUAGUUGGUACUUUCAAUUUUGAAUCGAAUAUGCAAUGAUGAUGUAUACUUGAUACUUGGUUCAUUUGGAUGGUAAUGUAUGAAUAUUUUGGAUGAUAUAUAAAAUUGUUAUUGUUGAUUUUAUCA